rnacentral:rRNA from 1 species
CAGUAGCCGCGGUAAUACAGAGGGUGCGAGCGUUAAUCGGAUUUACUGGGCGUAAAGCGUGCGUAGGCGGCUUUUUAAGUCGGAUGUGAAAUCCCUGAGCUUAACUUAGGAAUUGCAUUCGAUACUGGGAAGCUAGAGUAUGGGAGAGGAUGGUAGAAUUCCAGGUGUAGCGGUGAAAUGCGUAGAGAUCUGGAGGAAUACCGAUGGCGAAGGCAGCCAUCUGGCCUAAUACUAACGCUGAGGUACGAAAGCAUGGGGAGCAAACAGGAUUAGAUACCCCCGUAGUCCCUGUCUCUUAUAC